ACUCCAUACCCACUGAAACAUGGAGAAAUAUUCCAUUGGCAAGCAGUACUAAAGAUCAAGAGAACCAUACAAUUGGGUGGUAUACUGCAUGCCACACUACAAUACAAUUUCAAGAAUUAUACUAAUAUUACUUUCAUUGAUGUGGAAUUAAAUUUAUGCGACUUCUUAGAUGAUAUAGUUAAAAAUAAUUGUCCAGUACAUCCUGGAAUAUAUCAUAUUAAUAGUACUACUACAAUGUCAAAACUAUUUUGGCCAGGUCAGUAUUAUGGUAAAGCAACUGCUUACAAUGAGAAAGAAGAGCAGAUACUAUGUGUAAUGAAACAAAUCACUCUUGAAUAAUGAACAUAAUUAUUAUUAACACAUGCAUGCAGUAUAAGUUUUGAGACUGUUAAAUACUUAAAAAUUAAUGUCAUUGACAUCAGAGGCAGUGUCA